AACGAACGCUGGCGGCAGGCUUAAUACAUGCAAGUCGAACGCUCUCGUCGGAGAGAGUGGCAGACGGGUGAGUAACACGUGGGAACGUGCCUUUCGGUUCGGAACAACUUCGGGAAACUGGAGCUAAUACCGGAUACGCCCUUCGGGGGAAAGAUUUAUCGCCGAAAGAUCGGCCCGCGCAGGAUUAGCUAGUUGGUGGGGUAACGGCCUACCAAGGCGACGAUCCUUAGCUGGUCUGAGAGGAUGAUCAGCCACACUGGGACUGAGACACGGCCCAGACUCCUACGGGAGGCAGCAGUAGGGAAUCUUGGACAAUGGGCGAAAGCCUGAUCCAGCCAUGCCGCGUGAGUGAAGAAGGCCCUAGGGUUGUAAAGCUCUUUCAGCUGGGAAGAUAAUGACGGUACCAGCAGAAGAAGCCCCGGCUAACUCCGUGCCAGCAGCCGCGGUGGUACGGAGGGGGCUAGCGUUGUUCGGAAUUACUGGGCGUAAAGCGCACGUAGGCGGAUUGUUUAGUCAGAGGUGAAAGCCCGGAGCUCAACUCCGGAAUUGCCUUUGAUACUG
rnacentral:rRNA from 1 species